GUACUUGGUGUUACUGCGAAGGGGGGACGGAGAAGGCUAUGUUGGCCGGGCGACGGUUGUCCCGGUUUAAGCGUGUAGGUGUGUGUUCCAGGUAAAUCCGGUUCACUUUAACACUGAGGCGUGACGACGAGGCACUACGGUGCUGAAGCAACAAAUGCCCUGCUUCCAGGAAAAGCCUCUAAGCAUCAGGUAACACGAAAUCGUACCCCAAACCGACACAGGUGGUCAGGUAGAGAAUACCAAGGCGCUUGAGAGAACUCGGGUGAAGGAACUAGGCAAAAUGGUGCCGUAACUUCGGGAGAAGGCACGCUGACACGUAGGUGAAGUGAUUUACUCACGGAGCUGAAGUCAGUCGAAGAUACCAGCUGGCUGCAACUGUUUAUUAAAAACACAGCACUGUGCAAACACGAAAGUGGACGUAUACGGUGUGACGCCUGCCCGGUGCCGGAAGGUUAAUUGAUGGGGUCAGCGUAAGCGAAGCUCCUGAUCGAAGCCCCGGUAAACGGCGGCCGUAACUAUAACGGUCCUAAGGUAGCGAAAUUCCUUGUCGGGUAAGUUCCGACCUGCACGAAUGGCGUAAUGAUGGCCAGGCUGUCUCCACCCGAGACUCAGUGAAAUUGAACUCGCUGUGAAGAUGCAGUGUACCCGCGGCAAGACGGAAAGACCCCGUGAACCUUUACUAUAGCUUGACACUGAACAUUGAGCCUUGAUGUGUAGGAUAGGUGGGAGGCUUUGAAGUGUGGACGCCAGUCUGCAUGGAGCCGACCUUGAAAUACCACCCUUUAAUGUUUGAUGUUCUAACGUGGACCCGUAAUCCGGGUUGCGGACAGUGUCUGGUGGGUAGUUUGACUGGGGCGGUCUCCUCCUAAAGAGUAACGGAGGAGCACGAAGGUUGGCUAAUCCUGGUCGGACAUCAGGAGGUUAGUGCAAUGGCAUAAGCCAGCUUGACUGCGAGCGUGACGGCGCGAGCAGGUGCGAAAGCAGGUCAUAGUGAUCCGGUGGUUCUGAAUGGAAGGGCCAUCGCUCAACGGAUAAAAGGUACUCCGGGGAUAACAGGCUGAUACCGCCCAAGAGUUCAUAUCGACGGCGGUGUUUGGCACCUCGAUGUCGGCUCAUCACAUCCUGGGGCUGAAGUAGGUCCCAAGGGUAUGGCUGUUCGCCAUUUAAAGUGGUACGCGAGCUGGGUUUAGAACGUCGUGAGACAGUUCGGUCCCUAUCUGCCGUGGGCGCUGGAGAACUGAGGGGGGCUGCUCCUAGUACGAGAGGACCGGAGUGGACGCAUCACUGGUGUUCGGGUUGUCAUGCCAAUGGCACUGCCCGGUAGCUAAAUGCGGAAGAGAUAAGUGCUGAAAGCAUCUAA
rnacentral:rRNA from 1 species